rnacentral:rRNA from 1 species
UGGGGAAUCUUAGACAAUGGGGGCAACCCUGAUCUAGCCAUGCCGCGUGGAUGAUGAAGGCCUUAGGGUCGUAAAGUCCUUUCGCCGGGGAAGAUAAUGACGGUACCCGGUAAAGAAGCCCCGGCUAACUCCGUGCCAGCAGCCGCGGUAAUACGGAGGGGGCUAGCGUUGUUCGGAAUGACUGGGCGUAAAGCGCGCGUAGGCGGAUCGGAUAGUUGGGGGUGAAAGCCCAGGGCUCAACCCUGGAAUGGCCUUCAAAACUCCCGAUCUAGAGUUCGAGAGAGGUGAGUGGAAUUCCGAGUGUAGAGGUGAAAUUCGUAGAUAUUCGGAGGAACACCAGUGGCGAAGGCGGCUCACUGGCUCGACACUGACGCUGAGGUGCGAAAGCGUGGGGAGCAAACAG